GAUGAACGCUGGCGGCGUGCCUAAUACAUGCAAGUCGAGCGAACAGACGAGGAGCUUGCUCCUCUGACGUUAGCGGCGGACGGGUGAGUAACACGUGGAUAACCUACCUAUAAGACUGGGAUAACUUCGGGAAACCGGAGCUAAUACCGGAUAAUAUAUUGAACCGCAUGGUUCAAUAGUGAAAGACGGUUUUGCUGUCACUUAUAGAUGGAUCCGCGCCGCAUUAGCUAGUUGGUAAGGUAACGGCUUACCAAGGCAACGAUGCGUAGCCGACCUGAGAGGGUGAUCGGCCACACUGGAGCGGGGACACGGUCCAGACUCCUACGGGAGGCAGCAGUAGGGAAUCUUCCGCAAUGGGCGAAAGCCUGACGGAGCAACGCCGCGUGAGUGAUGAAGGUCUUCGGAUCGUAAAACUCUGUUAUUAGGGAAGAACAAAUGUGUAAGUAACUAUGCACGUCUUGACGGUACCUAAUCAGAAAGCCACGGCUAACUACGUG
rnacentral:rRNA from 1 species